CCCACCCAAAAUGAGAUGCGCUUCCGAAGGCCGGGCCCUUAGAGCCUCUGGGGCCGAGAAACAAGGCUUAGCCAUCCUUGGACCAACCUGAGGGGAGAAGAGGGGAGGGUCUGGCCCAGACCUGAAGGCCCGCCCGGUUACCUGAGGCGACGGGCGGGGCCCGCAUCGCUGGGGUGGGCGCCGCCGCCGGCCGCACUCGGCCUUCCGCCUCACGCCACCCGCGCCAUAGGACCGGCGCUUUCGCUGCCCUGGCCGGCUGUCCUCAGGCGGUCGUUCUGUCCACCCGUCAGCGACUCUCCCACGGCGCCCGGGGACGACGAAGGCCAGUCGGGCCGGCCGGCUGGGAUCUGCUCAGGCAACUUCCGACUGCCAGGGGCGGCAGCGUCAAAUAGCUCCCCGAGCCGACUGGGCCACUGCGCGUGCGCAGCGCGCCUGAUCAGAGACUUGUGCGGGUCCCAGACGGCGGCGUCAAAUAAUUCCCAAGACACGGAGCCGGAAGCUGCGCGUGCGCAGCUAUCCCAGAUCGCCGCGCGCGGGACAUAGUCCCUCCUUCUUUUCCGGAUCUAGAAGAGCAGGAGUGGAGUGAUGGAUACUCCUGUCUCAUCGAAAUACAGGCGUGGAGGCGGUCCACCUGCGUCCGUACGAAUCAGUCGGAACUCUGCCUGUUUUUGAUGCGAACGAAUUGAGCAGAACUUGCUUGGUGUAGAUAAUGGUUGAGAAGACCCACUUCUAUUUCUCCUGAACCUAACACAAUACUGGCACAGCGUUGGUGGUCAGUGAACAUUAAUUGGAUGGAUAGGGUUCUCCAGGCUAAAGUCCUGGUGGAGUGCUCAAGACCAGAACACUGGGAGAAACCCUCUGAACUCCUGGCCACACUCCUGUCCACAGUGCAGACCACGCAGGGACAUCAUGCACCUUGCGGGAGGCAAAGCCCCAGAUCUCCAGGGAACAGGACUCACCUGAGCCAGCUGUCUCUUGACAGGACGGGACACCUCGCAGGGACCCCUGUGCACCGUGCUGCUUCCUCUGCAACGGUCAAGAAGCCCUGGAUGAGCAGCCUGGUUCCACCUGGUCACCAUGUUCUGGAACCCAGAGUACCUGGGUUCUCAGAGAAGCUGGCUGCUUCACAAACGUGGGCUGUGUUCCCAACCCACGAGCCACACCUUUUAUUCCCAGGACGGAAGUCGACUACUCCACACAGGACAACAGCUCAUCUGCGUCUGAGACAGAGACGGCUUUUCAGAUCAUCUUUUGUGCAAACUCAGAUGACUGAGGACCCACCUCUGAGGACCCACCAUUAG
rnacentral:lncRNA from 1 species